ensembl:lncRNA
UGCCAACCUCUGACAAAAGAGAUACCAAACUUUUAUCGGCUGUAAGUGCUCCUCGCACGCAGACGUCGGUCUGCAGCGGUAAAUAUAAGGCAGAUGUCGAAUGGAAAUUAAACAUUGUGCUCUCAGGGUGGCCUCGGCCGCAUUCAGAGCUUGAUUUAAAACAAGGCCGGAGUUCUUUCAUCAUUUCUUCAAAAAGUUUCGGUCCGUAAGAUAUUCCAAACAGACACAUACUUGACCUAGAACUUGGCAAUGCGGGACAGUGUGUGCAUGUGAAAGCACCAGCACCGGGGAUGAAAGGCAAAGCAAGUUGUCUGCGAGGUGGACCAAGAGAAUUCCUUCAUCAAAUCACUUCUAUUUCAGCGUUCUGAGGGUUAGCAGUGAAUUCAGGUGAAACAUCCUUUCCCCUUUUCUUCCAAAGUAAAUCCGUGGUGACCGUUCAUCACUGGGGAGAUGCGGGCAGCCCGGUGUGCUGAAGCACCACCAGAACAGCAGCCCUGCUCGGCAGUUCUAGGAGGAUUUCUCUGCACGCUCCUUUACGACUCGAACCGUAUUUACGCCUCUGAAAGCAUUCUGCCCGGUGUUAGUAGGCAUAGUAAAAUUGUUUGGCACUUAGAGAGCCAGACUCGAGAAACAGAGAUUUGAAUGGCCUGAAUAACGCAAUAAUAGACGCCUAAAAAUGAAACCCGAAGACUGCUGAGCACACUUCAGUUAGGAGAAUAAGCGUAAAUUUAAGGCUUGAAAAGAUGCUCGUAUUUACAGAAUCAGCCAACAGCACAAACUGAAUAGCAUUCCCUUCUCUCCUACCUUCCUUAGAUUUUCGAGACAAUAAAACAGACGGUGAAAUUACGGGAUGAUUUACCAUUGGAAUAAGGAAAUACGGUCGUGCUCUUCUUGGAUGCUGUAUUUUUAGAAAUAACUUUUUUUCCCCCCCCCCUGACCGAUUUCCCAUCAAACAGAGUAAAACAAGGAACUCCUGAGGCCGUGACUUUGUCACCUCCCCAAAGUUUGGAUGGCGGCAGCAGCCGGCCUGCUCCCGCACGGCCAUCAAACACAAACCCAAAUGGCCACCACGUCCUGCCUGCAUUUCUCCCCCCGUGAAAGGACGAAAUCGUGACCGGAUUUUACUUUCAGAUGACCUGACAAACCAGCACUCCCUGGCACGAGCAGGGCAGUCAUUUCCCCUCCAUUUCCCAGUACAAGAUUUAAUCAGCUGAAACACAAACCUCCUUCUGCACUGAGAUCUUUCCGAACAAAACCACGCUGCAAACAGUCUCUCUGGCCUUUUUAAAAAUCAUUUUCAAUUGCUUUAAGACACAAAAUAGAGAUGGAUGGAUGAAUGGAUGGACAGCCGGAGAAAUGCUUUCGGUCAUGCUUCCCCCCAGCCCUUAAAAUUGAAAAGCAUCGGUAUCCAAAUAGCAACAGGAAAUUUUUUUACCUUGUGGCUAAAAAGCUCACUGUUCACUUUGCAGCUGCCUCUAUUUUUUGCUGGGCAAAGCACCAACACAAAAGUCUGUCCUAAGAAGCCAAGCUUUUGGCACAAGGGCAGCGACAAAACGCAAACCUACAAAGAAUUUUUUUCCCCCCGUCCCGUCGUUAUAAUUCCUAAUUUUGUGGGAUGCAUUGCUGGGCUGUUUAUCAUAACAGUGUGCAAUAAAAAGGACGAGUAACUCUUGCAAUUUUCUCCCUACUCCUCCCCUUGACAGGGGCCACUGAUAGGGAAAGAGGCUCGGAAAAGCAGAGCGGUGAAAGGCUAAGAAACAAUAGGCAACCAUGGCUUUGACAAUGCAGCCCUGAACCCUUCUUGCUCCUGCUGUGACACUUGCAUUCAAGAGCAAGGGCGGCUGCCAUCAUAAGAAUGGACAAUGGCAUGAGGAAUACAAGGGAGAGGGGGGAUAGAAAAAAAAAAAAAAAAAAAAGGAAAUCAGAUGAAUUCAGAGCUAAGAUGGCAGAGCUCUCACCUUUUCCGCCUGUUUCGAGUAAUCUGGAUGGAGACGUCCCGCAGAGAAGAGAUAAAAAGGGUGUGCUGAACUGUUGGAUGGUUCUGAAGACUUCUGCAUUUGCAAACGCAUUUUAGAACUAUUUGUAGGGGUAUAUAUGCUGCAUGCCAUCUCUCUGUCUCUGUCUCUCUCUCUCUCUCUGUGUCUCUCUCUCUUCUGUUUUAUGUCCUGCUAUCUCCAUCACACACCUCUAAUAGUAUGAAGACUUUCUGCCCAUGUAAGUAAGUGAGAGUGUGUGUUCCUUAAUGUUUGAAUCAAGACACACGUCUGCAUGCAUUUCUAAUCUAAGGAGCCUAUAGCAGUUACUACAACUAUCAAUUAGUCAGCAAUAGCUUGAGAUCCCCAUGUGUCUGGGUGAACAAAGGUGAGAAACACAUGCAAAUAGUACUACAGCACCUGGGUCACGUACAGUAACUUAGCCAGCAACAAAUAAUUGCAUCUGUUUCUGCCUCUUUGAUGCUUCUUGCUCAUUGUUAUGUAAAGUUACAGCUUAUUAAUGUGAACAGUAACACAAUUAGACAUGGCAUUGUAUAUUUUCAUUUGAACAACACAGUAAAAGGAAAUUAAGCUUAACUAGAUGGAAAUAAAUGGUGACUUAAAGGCUUUAAACGAAAAGAUUCCCUGAUCUGCUGCAGUGCUUCCAUUUUUUGAUCAAUUGUUCUUGAGUUAAAGAUGCAAAUGAAGUAGAUGUAUUCGGACAUUUCAUAUAUAUUAGAUAAGAAGCUGAUUAUUGCGGAGGAGACAGAGAGGACGCCCGAUUUCCUGAAGUUAAGUCCAUAAAAAGGGUGCACUCAAUCUGUUACUAUCUGUUCUAAUUAAGCGACCGUUAGUUUUAAGAACAUUUAAAGGGUGUUUUCUCCGAUGUUUUAGACUUAAGCCAAACAAUUAAGAAGAAAGAUACGGUACCUUUGACUCUCUCCUUCUUCUUAACCUCAAAAAAAAAAAAAAGAAAAAUGAGGAUUACCCUUAAAAACGGUCAGAGGUAAAAACGGCCUUUAGGAAAAAAAAAAAAGAGAAUUGAAAAAAGAAAGAAAGAAAAAGGAAAAAAAUAAUAAUAACCUGAAUGGAACAGCAAAGCGAUAAAACAGAGACGCUCCACGAUCCAGCAGCACCCUGAGUGCAGCACGAGACGAGCAGAGCGCGGCUGCUAUCCGUGAGCAGGCAGCAUUUCAGAGGUGGCAAUGGAUUCUGUGGACAACGUUAUUUACACAGAUUUGAUAAGAGCGACAACGGCUCCAACCCGUAAUUUAAUUUGCAGAAAUUAUAUCCCGCGUGGCGGAGUGCGGGGAAGUCUGAGAAUUGAGCGGUGUGAGAGGGACGGUUUGGUGCUGAGCUUCUCCCCACGUACAGCGUGCAGGCAGGGCUGCAGGGAUGCACUGCCUGACCCUCUGCCGGGAGCUCGCUUCCUACUCCUACCAGCUUCCUUGGGAGGCUCAUUAGUGACACCAAAGGAAAAGCGUUCUUCCCAGUGUUGGGCUCUGAGAACCUGCCAAGUUUAUUUAGCUUUAGGAACGACCCCCCAAAAAAGGGAAAAAAAGGAAAAAAAAAAAAAAGGAAAAAAUAAUAAUAAUAAAAAAAACCUUCCGAUUAAAACAACAGAAAUACCUCCUUAAGAAAAUCAGUGCCCAGCUCCCUCACCGAGCAGACUGCUAUGCGAACAGCAGGUGCUCGUGGAGAGGCAACGCUGCGGGAAUACAACGCCGUGCCCGGAGCGCAGCGUCCCCGCAGAACGCAGCUCUGAAGGCAGCGGCGCUGAGCGGGUGCAGCACUGCCUGCCAUGCAGCUCCGCGUCCCAACCGCGCCGCUGGGAACCGCGGGCGCUAUGGAGACGGCGCAUCCCCGGCGUGCGGAGCAGCGCCCACGGAGCGGUGCUGAGCUCCAGGCGGGAGAGUCACCAAAACUACCAAAUAAUCGCGCCCUUCGCAGAACAAUGAGACCUUAAAAUAUACGUGCAGGG